GCCUGAAAACUACAAGCGUAAGCUUAAAACUCAAAGGGUCUGGCGGCACUUUAAACUAUCUAGAGGAGCCUGUCCUAUAAUUGAUAAUCCCCGUUAAACCUCACCUUUUUUAGCGUUCAGCCUGUAUACCGCCGUCGUCAGCUUACCCCCUAAAGGCCACAUGAGUAAGCAAAACUGGCCCAGCCCAAAACGUCAGGUCGAGGUGCAGCUCACAAGAAGGGAAGAGAUGGGCUACAUUUCCUAGGAAAUACGGAUAAUGCAUUGAAACAUGCAUAUUGAAGGAGGAUUUAGCAGUAAGUAAAAAAUAGAGUGUUUUACUGAAAAAGGUCUUAAAGUGCGUAC
rnacentral:rRNA from 1 species